rnacentral:rRNA from 1 species
AUAGUCGCUGGGAGUAGACCCGAAACCGGGCGAUCUAGCCAUGUGCAGGAUGAAGGUUGGGUAACACCAACUGGAGGUCCGAACCGGGUAAUGUUGAAAAAUUAUCGGAUGACGUGUGGCUAGGAGUGAAAGGCUAAUCAAGCCCGGAGAUAGCUGGUUCUCCCCGAAAGCUAUUUAGGUAGCGCCUCGUGAAUGAUUACUGGGGGUAGAGCACUGUUUCGGCUAGGGGGCUGUCAUGGCUUACCAAACCGAUGCAAACUCCGAAUACCGGCUAAUUGAAUCACGGGAGACACACGGCGGGUGCUAACGUCCGUCGUGGAGAGGGAAACAACCCAGACCGCCAGCUAAGGUCCCCAAGUACUAGUUAAGUGGGAAACGAUGUGGGAAGGCAUAGACAGCCAGGAGGUUGGCUUAGAAGCAGCCACCCUUUAAAGAAAGCGUAAUAGCUCACUGGUCGAGUCGGCCUGCGCGGAAGAUGUAACGGGGCUAAAACUAGUCACCGAAGCUGCGGAUGUGCGCGAAGGCGCACGUGGUAGGGGAGCGUUCUGUAGGCUGAUGAAGGUGCAUUGAGAAGUGUGCUGGAGGUAUCAGAAGUGCGAAUGCUGACAUGAGUAACGAUAAUGUGGGUGAAAAGCCCACACGCCGGAAGUCCCAGGUUUCCUGCACGACGUUAAUCGGAGCAGGGUGAGUCGGCCCCUAAGGCGAGGCUGAAGAGCGUAGUCGAUGGGAACCAGGUUAAUAUUCCUGGACUUUUUAUAAGUGGUGAAGUGGGGACGAAGAAGGCUAGGUGAGCCAGGCGUUGGUUGUCCUGGUACUUGCAUGUAGGGGGGAAGACUUGGCAAAUCCGGUUUUCCAUAACUCUGAGGUGCGAAGUGGUUCUGACCUUUUGGUACAGAGAAGUCAUUGAUGCCCGGCUUCCAGGAAAAGCUGCUAGCCAUAACUUAUAGAGAACCGUACCGCAAACCGACACAGGUGGACAGGUAGAGAAUACUAAGGCGCUUGAGAGAACUCGGGUGAAGGAACUAGGCAAAAUGGUACCGUAACUUCGGGAGAAGGUACGCCCUUUUGGGUGAGGGCAUUUACUGUCUGAGCUUAAGAGGGCCGCAGAGACCAGGUGGCUGCGACUGUUUAUUAAAAACACAGCACUCUGCAAAUUCGUAAGAAGACGUAUAGGGUGUGACGCCUGCCCGGUGCCGGAAGGUUAAUUGAUGGGGUUAUCUUCGGAGAAGCUCUUGAUCGAAGCCCCGGUAAACGGCGGCCGUAACUAUAACGGUCCUAAGGUAGCGAAAUUCCUUGUCGGGUAAGUUCCGACCUGCACGAAUGGCGUAACGAUGGCCACACUGUCUCCACCCGAGACUCAGUGAAAUUGAAAUCGCUGUGAAGAUGCAGUGUACCCGCGGCUAGACGGAAAGACCCCGUGAACCUUUACUAUAGUUUUGCACUGGACUUUGAUGAUGACUGUGUAGGAUAGGUGGGAGGCUGUGAAGUGAGGACGCUAGUUCUCAUGGAGCCGCCCUUGAAAUACCACCCUGUUGUUAUUGAGGUUCUAACUUGGUCCAGUAAUCCUGGAUGAGGACAGUGUAUGAUGGGUAGUUUGACUGGGGCGGUCUCCUCCCAAAGAGUAACGGAGGAGCACAAAGGUACCCUCGGUACGGUCGGACAUCGUACCAAGAGUGUAAAGGCAAAAGGGUGCUUGACUGCGAGAGUGACGGCUCGAGCAGGAACGAAAGUUGGUCUUAGUGAUCCGGUGGUUCUGAAUGGAAGGGCCAUCGCUCAACGGAUAAAAGGUACUCCGGGGAUAACAGGCUGAUACCGCCCAAGAGUUCAUAUCGACGGCGGUGUUUGGCACCUCGAUGUCGGCUCAUCACAUCCUGGGGCUGAAGCAGGUCCCAAGGGUAUGGCUGUUCGCCAUUUAAAGUGGUACGCGAGCUGGGUUUAGAACGUCGUGAGACAGUUCGGUCCCUAUCUGCCGUGGGCGUAGGAAAAUUGAGAGGAGCUGCUCCUAGUACGAGAGGACCGGAGUGGACGAACCUCUGGUGCACCGGUUGUCACGCCAGUGGCAUGGCCGGGUAGCUAAGUUCGGACGGGAUAACCGCUGAAAGCAUCUAAGCGGGAAGCCUCCCUCAAGAUGAGUUUUCCCAUGAAGCCCGUUGAAGACUACGACGUUGAUAGGCAAGGUGUGGAAGCGCAGUAAUGCGUGAAGCUAACUUGUACUAAUUGGCUGAUUGUCUUGACCA